GGUGAGGGUACAUUGGCUGCAACAUCUGUCAUCCCAGUGAAUGCCAGGGUUGAUUCAGCGGAUCUGGCUGAAUCAUCUUCCUCCCUCCUUGCAUAACCCUCCCAAAGCUACGUGCUUGGUUUGCUCUUCGAGGACAGGGCUGAGAGAUAGUAGAGCUGGAAGGGCACUUGCCUUCCUUGAGGGCAACCCAGGUUUGAUCCUUGGCAUUCCAUAUGGUAAUUCCUA
rnacentral:sRNA from 1 species